rnacentral:rRNA from 1 species
GACGAACCGUGCGAACGUUGUUCGGAUUCACUGGGCUUAAAGGGCGCGUAGGCGGAUUCGCAAGUCCGGGGUGAAAUCUUUCGGCUCAACCGGAAAAGUGCCUUGGAUACUGCGAGUCUCGAGGGAGGUAGGGGCCGCGGGAACUUCCGGUGGAGCGGUGAAAUGCGUAGAUAUCUGGAGGAACACCGGUGGCGAAGGCGGCAUCCUGGACCGGCAUUGACGCUGAGGAGCGAAAGCCAGGGGAGCAAAGCGGG